GGACUCCCGGUACAGGCUGUCCCUAAGAGACUGUCAGUAGUGUUGGGGGAGUCUCUUCACCUCCAUUUUUGCUCUUCCAGGGAUAAAGUUUUGAUCCUUACCGUGGCCUAUGGCCCUGAGUGGUCUUGCUUGAGGACACCUGUCUGCUCUCCUUCAUACUCCUGUCUCCCUGGAAUACCCAGACCCUGCCUCAUUCAGGCAGCAUCCACAGGAAGCAGGAUUUCCCCAUUCAUGGCAAAGGCAGACUCUGGCAGUUCCAGGCUACAUUCUACAAGCUUAGAAACCUCAGCAGAAAGAGAGCAUCUCUUCCUGAAGAGUUCUAGCUAAUGUCCUGAGUAAAAAUUUUAUCAAAUGUCCUGGGUCAAUUGCCCAUUGCUGAACCAAUUACUGUGGCUGGAAGUGUGGAACACUCUAAUCAACCAGGACUGG